GUUAAUGUAGCUUAAAUUAUCAAAGCAAGGCACUGAAAAUGCCUAGAUGGGUGUUUUACCCCAUGAACA